ensembl:lncRNA
AUGGAGACCCUCAGUCGUGUCGCCGCUGCUGGUCCUGCACUGCUGUGGCUUCUCCUCACUGUGUGUCGGUUCUCAUGUGCAGAAGAGUGUGCUAUUGAGGUUCGGGUCAGACGGAACACUGUACUGAGGACAGCCCCAAUGAAAUCCCUGACUGUGAACUGCACUAUCACAUGGCAGGACUGUAGCUCAGAGCCCACUGUCACCUGGUGUAAACUUCUUAUCAAUAACGAUUGUGUAAAAGUGAACUCAACACCGGAUGUGGCCAUCCACCAGGAGAGAAGCUUGACAGAGGGAAAUAAGAUAGUCUCCUAUCUGAAUUUUCACAGGGUGGAAAAACAUGACGAUGGUCUCUAUCGUUGCGAAAUAUCUGGGUCUUUAACAGUAGUCAGUCAUACUAUAAACGUGUCUGUGUCAGAAACCCUGCACACUUCCACAGAAAGCCCAACCGUCACAAACAAACCAGACUCAAAUCAAGACUGGCUGCUGUAUGUUUAUGUCUGCGCCGCCUGUGCAGUCGUCAUUCUCAUAGUGAUCAUCACCUGCUUCUGCUUACUGAGAGCAGGACAUCAUAUCACAGGACACUGUGUCUGUACUGAGCUACUUCACAGACACACCUCGUUCAGUCCAAAUGUUCAAUCAAGACCUGCUCCUACUGAAUAAUGUGCCAAUCAGAGAAAAGGGUGACUGCUGGGUGAUAGCCAUGCUGGAUAUACAUCGGCCUAACACCAAAAAUUGACAUUGACCUUGAGAAGUUUUUUUUUCAGGGCAAGCAGUAAUGCAGAUCGCAUUGCUCUCUAAAAUGCCCCCAGCACAUGUAUAACCCCAGCAGGUAUAACCUCAGCACAGGUGUAACCUCGGCACAGGUAUAAGCCCAGCACAGGUAUAACCUCAGCACAGGUGUAACCUCAGCAGGUAUAACCUCAGCACAGGUGUAACCUCGGCACAGGUAUAAGCCCAGCACAGGUAUAACCUCAGCACAGGUGUAACCUCAGCACAGGUAUAAGCCCAGCACAGGUGUAACCUCGGCACAGGUAUAAGCCCAGCACAGGUGUAACCUCAGCACAGGUAUAAGCCCAGCACAGGUAUGACCCCAGCACAGGUAUAACCCCAGCACAGGUACAACCCCAGCAUGGCCCACAGACACACAUUAGUGAACAGCUCUCUUUACCACCACACUAGUUUUAGUGCUUUUUACAACAGUGCUCUUCUGUGCUUUUUCAGGCUUGAUAGAUUGAUUGGUUUGAUUUGUUUUUCCCAGCUGGCUAUAUCUAUAUUUGUCCUUGCUGAUUAUCAUGAUGUGAUAUGUCAGUACCCUGUAUUGUGACCACAGGUUUUUCUGAUGUAUUUUAAUGUAUUUUUAUUGUGUUAAGUGUACAGGCCUAUGUUCUGGAAGCUAUAUAGAGCUAUCCUAUUAGUAUGGUGACUGUAUUUGUAUACAUUUGGCUUGAUUUAUUAAACAGCUCAAACUGAGUGUUUGGAACCUAUAUGUGUGUCAGUGGUGGACAAAGUACACUAACUACGUACUUAAGUGAAAGUAUAGAUACCUUGUGUAAAAUAUUACUCCAGUAA